CAGCUGCUAAAAUGGGAAGGAUUGAGAUCAGCAAGUUUCUGACUGUGAGUAAGCUAAAAUAGGCUUUUGAAUAAUGUUUUCCGCCUGCUUAGCAAAUUUCUCUUGUGACAGUUGGAUGUUAUUUGGGGUGCCAUACUAGGAGGAAGAGGCACAAGCACAUUUCAGUCAGUUUUGAGAAUAAAUAUUCUGUGUAUAUAUUUGUAGUUGUUAUAUUUUUCCUUCUUGAGGGUUAUGAUUGAUCCUUGGCAUGUGGCCCCUUGUGUAUUGCUCUGCUGAAAACAGCCUAAAACGAAUCUUCCAAGAGUUUUGUGGCACUUCCCUUUAGUUACAAUUCUACUUUUUUUCCUUACCUGAGUAUCAGUCUUCAGAGACCUAGCAUAACAAAAGAACAGAUACAAGUACAUAUAAAAAUAUCUAUGAGAAGAUCAAUUAGACUUGUGAAAGCACGUUUCAAGUAAUUUUCUACUGAAAAAUUUAAUCAAAUUUAUUAAUCAUAUCUCUGCUUACCGGUGUUAAAUAAAAACUUUAAAGAUAGCAAUCAAUAAACAGAGAUAAAAGCUUCUCCAGAAUAAAUGAAAGGAAGUAAUAAAAAGACUCACUAAGCUGAAGUGCCUCCUAUCAACAGCAGCUGAUAAAAUAUUAAAAGAUUUGCCUUGUGUAAUGUCUCUGGAGGGCUGUCUUGCUGAUGUACCAGACCAUGAUUGACAACUUUGAGACUUGCUGGAAGCCACAAAAGUAUAUCUAUAAUAUUAUGCUCAAUUGCAUAGGUCUUUCUUCCUAAAUGGUGCUGGAAAUAACAUAUCACUGAGUGAUUGGCUUGUAAGAAAUUGAACUCUCUCCUCAGUUCUAGCUGAAGCCUAAUUUGCUUAGAAUUAGAUAUUAUGUGGUAUCUAGAAUGUGAAAAACAAAAAUAA
rnacentral:lncRNA from 1 species